CCUACGGGAGGCAGCAGUGGGGAAUAUUGGGCAAUGGGCGCAAGCCUGACCCAGCAACGCCGCGUGAAGGAAGAAGGCUUUCGGGUUGUAAACUUCUUUUAAGAGGGAAGAGCAGAAGCCGGUACCUCUUGAAUAAGCCACGGCUAACUACGUGCAAGCAGCCGCGGUAAUACGUAGGGGGCAGGCGUUGUCCGGAUUUACUGGGAGUAAAGGGCGUGCAGCCGGGAAGACAAGUCAGUUGUGAAAUCCCUCGUCUCAACCGCGGAAUUGCAUUUGAAACUGGUUUGCUUGAGUACCGUAGAGGUCAGCGGAAUUCCUUGUGUAGCGGUGAAAUGCGUAGAUAUAAGGAAGAACACCAGUGGCGAAGGCGGAUGACUGGACGGCAACUGACGGUGAGGCGCGAAAGCGUGGGGAGCAAACAGGAUUAGAUACCCGGGUAGUC
rnacentral:rRNA from 1 species